rnacentral:rRNA from 1 species
AACGCUGAAGACUUUAGCUUGCUAAAGUUGGAAGAGUUGCGAACGGGUGAGUAACGCGUAGGUAACCUGCCUACUAGCGGGGGAUAACUAUUGGAAACGAUAGCUAAUACCGCAUAACAGCAUUUAACACAUGUUAGAUGCUUGAAAGGAGCAAUUGCUUCACUAGUAGAUGGACCUGCGUUGUAUUAGCUAGUUGGUGAGGUAACGGCUCACCAAGGCGACGAUACAUAGCCGACCUGAGAGGGUGAUCGGCCACACUGGGACUGAGACACGGCCCAGACUCCUACGGGAGGCAGCAGUAGGGAAUCUUCGGCAAUGGGGGCAACCCUGACCGAGCAACGCCGCGUGAGUGAAGAAGGUUUUCGGAUCGUAAAGCUCUGUUGUAAGAGAAGAACGUGUGUGAGAGUGGAAAGUUCACACAGUGACGGUAACUUACCAGAAAGGGACGGCUAACUACGUGCCAGCAGCCGCGGUAAUACGUAGGUCCCGAGCGUUGUCCGGAUUUAUUGGGCGUAAAGCGAGCGCAGGCGGUUUAAUAAGUCUGAAGUUAAAGGCAGUGGCUUAACCAUUGUUCGCUUUGGAAACUGUUAGACUUGAGUGCAGAAGGGGAGAGUGGAAUUCCAUGUGUAGCGGUGAAAUGCGUAGAUAUAUGGAGGAACACCGGUGGCGAAAGCGGCUCUCUGGUCUGUAACUGACGCUGAGGCUCGA